CGAUGUAGUCAAAUUGGUUUGACAGCUGACUGUAAAUCAGUGGAAUAUUCCCAUGUAGGUUCGAAUCCUAUCAUCACGA